UGGAAAGUGCCAGUGUAUCCCACCAUUGUGU
rnacentral:piRNA from 1 species